rnacentral:lncRNA from 1 species
GUUGCAUAUGUCCUCUCCCCUUGCACUUGAAACACUCAAUGCUGCUUAUCUUGGGUUUAUGCAUCUCAAAUUGCUUUUCACUCCCUCCUCCCUUGCCCCCAUUAUUAUUGUCAAAUUUAGGCUUGAAGGCGCUUUUGUCUCCACUUUUCCAAUUUCGCUUCCAAUUGGAUAUUGUAGUAGACAAACUAAGCUUGGAAGAUAUUCCCUUCAAUUGCG